AAGUCGUAACAAGGUUUCCGUAGGUGAACCUGCGGAAGGAUCAUUACAGAGCUCAUGCCCGAAAGGGUAGACCUCCCACCCUUGCGUAUUUAUACUUUGUUGCUUUGGCGGAGCGGCUGCAAGGCCACCGGCUCCGGCUGGUGCGUGCCCGCCAGAGGACCCUAAACUCUGAAUAUUAGUGUUGUCUGAGUACUAUAAUAAUAGUUAAAACUUUCAACAACGGAUCUCUUGGUUCUG
rnacentral:misc_RNA from 1 species